GAUGAACGCUGGCGGCGUGCCUAAUACAUGCAAGUCGAGCGAACAGACGCGGCUCUUGCUCCUCUCACGUUAGCCGCGGACGUGUGAGUCACACGUGUAUCACCUACCUAUAUUACUGGUAUAUCUUCGGGACACCGGCUCUAAUACCGUAUAAUCUCUUGCACCGCAUGGUUCAUUAGUGAAAUACGGUUUUUCUGUCUCUUAUCGAUGCAUCCGGGCCGCAUUAGCUAGUUGUUACGGUAACGGCUUUCCAAGGCAACGAUGCGUAGCCGACCUGAGAGGGUGAUAGGCGACACGGGAACGGAGACACGGACCAGACGCCUAAGGGAGGCAGCAGAAGGGAAUGUUACGCAAUGGGCGAAAGCAUGACGGAGCAACGCCGCGUGAGAGAUGAAGGUCUUCGGAGCGUAAAAAUCUGUUAUGAGGGAAGAACAAAUGUGUAAGUAACUAUGCACGGAGUGACGGUAACUAAUCAGAAAGCAACGGCUAACUACGUG
rnacentral:rRNA from 1 species